CAGGGCCCGUGGGUGUCUCGGUUGUGACGACAGCCUUGUUCUCCGAGGAAGACGUGGCGGAAGACCAGGACGACCGACCUGACGAGUGCUGGCUGUCGGGAAGCUUCUUCUCUGGCUCGGAUGCAUUGCAUUUCUCUUCCAUUGGCCAAACAGAGCAGGGUCGAUGGUGGGAGGUGGCAGUUGGAAGGUGGCGGCAGAACGCGACGGGCUGUUGGCCAGUGGCGCUGGUCUCUGGCCGUUACAGCAUUCUUCUUCCUCGUCAUCCUUGCCCACCCAGUUCUUCUUGGUGUGGAGCAGCUGUUCGCGGACAAGGAAGAGACGGCUUCUGCGAGCCUCCUGCAGCGCUGCACCCACUAGUCGCACCAGCUGGGCACGCUGUGGUCCCUGGAGUGCCGAGACACCGUUCCAGAUACGGGCCACAGACGUGAGGCAGCGACCACACAGACGCGCCAGGCCUACCAGCAGGCUAUGCAGGUCUUCCAAGACGGCGCAUGGACUGUGCACCAGCAUGGACUUGAAGCAACGCUGUUGGCAGACAAAGAAGAAUCAUUUGAAGAUUUCACCAUUCCAACAUCCCUAGAAAAAAAAAUGUGACAGAAGAGCAGGCGGCCUGCACGGCUUCUAUGCCUCCCCACGGCUCCAGACACAUGGGCUUCGACGUGGCCAGUCGGAGGGCAUGGGUCACCUGAGAAGAUAAACUCCUAACCGAAGAAGGAGAAGAAGGCAGCAUUUGAGGACAUCUUACACAUCAUGACUGCCUGUUUUUGAUGUGCUGUCAAUAGCAUCCUCUAGAUUCUUGGCAGGGCAGUCGGGUGACUUGUCAUCAGUCAACGGGCCUUCAGACUGCUGGGAGGUCCUCCGCCGGGAUAUGGAGAAUCCACGCAGCAGCUCAUCCACCUGUUGCAAAACAAUGAAUCGAGUGCAUCCUUACCUGUGGCCCAAGGACCACCUUGAAUCGAUGGUCAGGCUGGUCAGCAGCUAUGAGGAAAGAGCGCGGUCCUGGCUGGUAGAGCAAGUACAGCCGCACACCACGGCGUACCUGCAGCACCCGUCUACGGAUUGCCUCGGCUAGCUCAGAGCCUGCAAUUUCUCCUUGAUGUCUCGCACUGACACCGGGUGCACCUGCUGCAGUCGUUCCAACUGGGUAGCCAUGUCUCCUGGAUGGCUCCUGUGCGAGACAUAAAGGCCUUGUUCCAUUUUGGUACUCCGAUGACUUUUGGCAAGGCAGCCUGCUGUCCCACAGUGCCACAGCCUCAACUGAACAGGUCGUCAAACUUUUGAGACGACAACAAGGCACGAUGCGACCUGAGAAGAUGAGCCACCUCAAGGCAAGGGCAGUGC